GCUCAACCGGGGAGGGUCAUUGGAAACUGGGGAACUUGAGUGCAGAAGAGGAGAGUGGAAUUCCACGUGUAGCGGUGAAAUGCGUAGAGAUGUGGAGGAACACCAGUGGCGAAGGCGACUCUCUGGUCUGUAACUGACGCUGAGGCGCGAAAGCGUGGGGAGCGAACAGGAUUAGAUACCCUGGUAGUCCACGCCGUAAACGAUGAGUGCUAAGUGUUAGAGGGUUUCCGCCCUUUAGUGCUGCAGCAAACGCAUUAAGCACUCCGCCUGGGGAGUACGGUCGCAAGACUGAAACUCAAAGGAAUUGACGGGGGCCCGCACAAGCGGUGGAGCAUGUGGUUUAAUUCGAAGCAACGCGAAGAACCUUACCAGGUCUUGACAUCCUCUGACAACCCUAGAGAUAGGGCUUCCCCUUCGGGGGCAGAGUGACAGGUGGUGCAUGGUUGUCGUCAGCUCGUGUCGUGAGAUGUUGGGUUAAGUCCCGCAACGAGCGCAACCCUUGAUCUUAGUUGCCAGCAUUCAGUUGGGCACUCUAAGGUGACUGCCGGUGACAAACCGGAGGAAGGUGGGGAUGACGUCAAAUCAUCAUGCCCCUUAUGACCCGGGCUACACACGUGCUACAAUGGGCAGAACAAAG
rnacentral:rRNA from 1 species